CGGACGGGUGAGUAAUGUCUGGGAAACUGCCUGAUGGAGGGGGAUAACACUGGAAACGGUAGCUAAUACCGCAUAACGUCGCAAGACCAAAGAGGGGGACCUUAGGGCCUCUUGCCAUCGGAUGUGCCCAGAUGGGAUUAGCUAGUAGGUGGGGUAACGGCUCACCUAGGCGACGAUCCCUAGCUGGUCUGAGAGGAUGACCAGCCACACUGGAACUGAGACACGGUCCAG
rnacentral:rRNA from 1 species